CAUUUAUGUUAGAAAAAUAAAAUGUACUCUAGAGAAUGGAAUCGUGAUGUCCAAUACAGAGGCAGAGUCCGGGUCCAGCUCAAACAGGAAGAUGGCAGCCUCUGCCUUGUACAGUUCCCAUCACGUAAGUCAGUAAUGUUGUAUGCAGCAGAAAUGAUACCUAAACUAAAAACAAGGACACAAAAAACAGGAGGUGCUGACCAAAGUCUUCAACAAGGAGAGGGAAGUAAAAAAGGGAAAGGAAAGAAAAAGAAGUAACCUAGUAUCAGCAUCAAGUAUGUGGUACUACUGUAAGAGACAUGAAUGGAGACUUCUAAUUUGUAUCGGAGGGAAACAGAAGCUUUUUGUUCGCAUCAUUUAACUGAACUGUGAACCCUCGUGCCUCUCAUCUUUAUCAUCGGAGUUGACAGUGAAACAGAUUUACAUCAGAAGUUUGCGUCUCGCUUUUAUGCCGUAUAAAAAUUUUUUUGU
rnacentral:sRNA from 1 species